rnacentral:rRNA from 1 species
GAUGAACGCUGGCGGCGUGCCUAAUACAUGCAAGUCGAGCGAACGGACGAGAAGCUUGCUUCUCUGAUGUUAGCGGCGGACGGGUGAGUAACACGUGGAUAACCUACCUAUAAGACUGGGAUAACUUCGGGAAACCGGAGCUAAUACCGGAUAAUAUUUUGAACCGCAUGGUUCAAAAGUGAAAGACGGUCUUGCUGUCACUUAUAGAUGGAUCCGCGCUGCAUUAGCUAGUUGGUAAGGUAACGGCUUACCAAGGCAACGAUGCAUAGCCGACCUGAGAGGGUGAGCGCCCACCCGAAAUCAGAGACGCGGUCCAGACUCCUACGGGGCAGCAGUAGGGAAUCUUCCGCAAUGGGCGAAAGCCUGACGGAGCAACGCCGCGUGAGUGAUGAAGGUCUUCGGAUCGUAAAACUCUGUUAUUAGGGAAGAACAUAUGUGUAAGUAACUGUGCACAUCUUGACGGUACCUAAUCAGAAAGCCACGGCUAACCACGUG